rnacentral:lncRNA from 1 species
GGCAUGUUAUGAUGGACAAUCUUGUGUAUUAGUUCAUUUAGUACAGACGGCAGUCCGUCCAGGCAGCCUACCAAACACAGCAGGAUCUGCAGCAGUCACUUUGUAAAUGGCGAGAAGUCGGACGAUCAGAGAAGCCCUGCCUAUCUACCAACCUUGUUUCCAAGUGUGUACAGGUCCACUAAUGUUGCUACUGCACACAGGCUCCGGUCACGUAAGCAGCACGAACAACCCACAUGGAGCUGUGUGUUGCCACUUCCUGACGACCAAGAAUGCAGUGCUGCGACUACAGAGCACACAAGAAUAGGAACGUUGACAGACCCUUGCACAUGGUUCUCGGAGGUGGACAUGCCAAGCCUGUUCUUUUGUUGUUUAAAAGAAUCCGAAGCUGACACGCAGGUUGUUCUGCCCUGCAAGAAAUAAAGCAAGCAUGCAUCAUGGGGAACAUCCUACGACGUCAACGACACUGCAUGUGACCCUGUGAACGUUGAACACACUAUCUCGACCCCAGGCUUCCGCAGUUACGCCAGUGUCUCAUCCUGCACCAGUGAAAAAGCUUCUGACAUUCUGAAGGGUAUUACUGGGGCUUCGCUGAGUAUUUUUACAAAGCUGAGGGGCAUUCUAGCUCAGGCGCUCAAUUUUAAGGGGAAAGAGGAACCCACAAAUGCUUUAAACAAAUUGCUUAUCUUUUUGAUGAAACUAAAACUAAACUUGUCGUACUCAUCCUUGGCAGCGUUUUUUGGUUUACACAGAACCACAGGUUCAAGACAUUUUCUGCUGAUCAUUCCCAUUCUCCAUGCAAAAAUGCGGCCAGUAAUUUACUGGCCGUCAGGGUAAACCACACAGCUGAUGAUGCCUUAUUCCUUCAAGCCCGAUAUGUAAACUGCAGCGUUGUCAUUGACUGCACAAAAGUGCCCUGAGCAGCACCAAGCACGGUCCAUGAGAAAGUGUGCAUGUAUUCCAGCUACAAAGGAACCUACACUGUGAAAUCCCUUGUAAGAAUAACGUCAAGUGGUCUCGUAAGCUAUGUGUCAAGGCCUUAUGGUGGCUGUGCCAACAACUCUCUCAUCACAUCUGACUGUGGCAUAUUGCACAUGCUUGAGCCAGGGGACCUUGUGCUCGCUGACAAGGGCUUUCCUCC